rnacentral:rRNA from 5 species
UCCGUAGGUGAACCUGCGGAAGGAUCAUUACCUAGAGUUGUAGGCUUUGCCUACCAUCUCUUACCCAUGUCUUUUGAGUACCUUCGUUUCCUCGGCGGGUCCGCCCGCCGAUUGGACAAACUUAAACCCUUUGUAAUUGAAAUCAGCGUCUGAAAAAACAUAAUAGUUACAACUUUCAACAACGGAUCUCUUGGUUCUGGCAUCGAUGAAGAACGCAGCGAAAUGCGAUAAGUAGUGUGAAUUGCAGAAUUCAGUGAAUCAUCGAAUCUUUGAACGCACAUUGCGCCCCUUGGUAUUCCAUGGGGCAUGCCUGUUCGAGCGUCAUUUGUACCUUCAAGCUCUGCUUGGUGUUGGGUGUUUGUCUCGCCUUUGCGUGUAGACUCGCCUUAAAACAAUUGGCAGCCGGCGUAUUGAUUUCGGAGCGCAGUACAUCUCGCGCUUUGCACUCAUAACGACGACGUCCAAAAAGUACUUUUUACACUCUUGACCUCGGAUCAGGUAGGGAUACCCGCUGAACUUAAGCAUAUCAAUAAGCGGAGGA